UUCCUGAGCCAUGAAAAUGGAAAUUUAUGCAAUAGAACUAAAAAGUUAUGUUAUACAAGCCCUGCAAGAGACUGUAUUUCAUCCUUGCAUCUCAUUUUACUGGAAUUCAGCAAGGCCACACUCACAGUGCUAUUAUAUCAUGAGUGGAAGUGGGGUUCUAUGACAUAAUCAACUGCUUUCUGUUGUGACAUCAGCAGAUAACCCAUGUUGGAGCCCCAAACACUUUCUAAAUGUUUGAGCAUGUUACCACAUGUUGGGUGUUUUGGGAAGGUCUACAAUGAUGUCCACGCAUGCCCGUGCUUCAUACACAGAAACACAUAUAUGAACACACACACACAAACACAGAAGUGACCCAAAUGCAAGUUUCAAACAUGCUAAUGAUAUGGAGAGAGAGUGAAGAGCUAUCAUGUAGAAAAGAAUGGUGUGAAUUGCAGAAGACGAACACUCAGCAUUUUUGCCUCUGAAAGCUGCAUGUGCUACAGACACUUUGGAAAUGACUUGUGCUCCCUAAACAUGAGAUAGAAGCUCUACACACUUAAAAAAAAAAUUAAAAACUACAUAAGAAAAUGGAUACUAUGGGUCAUUGUGUCAAAAAGUCUUCUUGAAUGACUAUACUCUCCACUUACUCUGUUUGGUUAUAUUGCACUAUGUACCUGGGACUUUUC
rnacentral:lncRNA from 1 species